AAAUAAUGAUAAAAUUCAAAAUAACCUAUAAUUAAAAUUUAAUAGAAAAUUCAAUUGAACGUUGAACAUUUUUUUCAAUUGGUUACUUUUAAUUAGCUGGCUACUUGAAAUUAUUUGCAUGUCGUUUGUCAAAGGUAAAUUCUGUCAUGGCCGUAAUGCUUUUGUAGUAGAAUCUGUAAAGAAGCAUGUCUGCCCUCAAAAAUACACCCAGUUAGUACAAACGCCUGGAAACACUGGUACAAUUCAAAAUAUUCUUCCAGGUGCCUCAACUAGUUCUGUUAAAGAUAUUCUUCCAGAUUCAACUCCUAUGCCUAUGUCUUCUUGGUUUCAUUCAUUAUCAGAUCAUGAUGAGGAGUUACAUGAUGAAGAAUCACCACCAAAAGAUAUUCGUAAUGUGCAAUCAACUUCCAAUGCUGAACAAAAAAUUGUAGGAGUUUCCAAAGAAGACAUGGCUGGUUUAAUAACAUCAAUAGAAGUUGCAGACCACUUUGGAAUCACAAAAUGUCGUUGGGAGAAAGAUCCGAAAAUAUUAAAAAUAAUUUAUUGAAUUUGAUGGCAAAUAUUCUAUUCAGGGAUUAAAAAAGAGCUGGAAAUAUCUUAAGGAAAGAUAUACUAGGGAAAAAAAAUCUGGAGUGAGUGGUGCAGCAGGAGGUAAACAAGAAUGGUGUUAUCUUUAGAUUUUUAGAUGAAGUAUUGAUAGUUGAUAAAUGCACGGUUGACAACCUUAAACCUACACACACCAGCCUUGAAAAUGAUUCAAAU